GUGCUCAUUUUGGCAGCACAUAUACUAAAAUUGGAAUAAUACAGAGAAGAUUAACAUGGCCCCUGUGCAAAGAUGACAUGCUAAUUCAUGAAGUGUUCCAUUUUUUU
rnacentral:snRNA from 1 species